AAAAAUUAAAAAAAUAAAAUUCUGUUUUAAUGCAUACUUGAAUCCUUCACUAACAUAUGAUGAAGGACAAAGAGGUUUGGAACCUUUGUUGUCUCCGUUUUUCUAAAGAAUAGCGAUUUCAUAGUGGUUAGUAAACCAAUUUAGGGAGUAUUAUGAAGUUUUACUAAAUUAAUUGACAACAAAUUUAAACUAUGUCCAUGAACCAUUAAAGAGAGUUUAAUAUACAUUAAUACAAAUGUAUAAUGUGUUUAAAAAUUUUAAAACUACACUAAAAAUCAUAGGCUUCGAUAUAUAGAGCAUUUACAGAAAAAUUAAAUAUUUUCGUAUGGGUUAACCCAUAGAUUUUGAGAAAAAAAA